AUUGAACGCUGGCGGCAGGCUUAACACAUGCAAGUCGAACGGUAACAUAAAGAAGCUUGCUUCUUUGAUGACGAGUGGCGGACGGGUGAGUAAUGCUUGGGAAUCUAGCUUAUGGAGGGGGAUAACUACGGGAAACUGUAGCUAAUACCGCGUAAUAUCGAGAGAUUAAAGUGUGGGACCUUCGGGCCACAUGCCAUAGGAUGAGCCCAAGUGGGAUUAGGUAGUUGGUGAGGUAAAGGCUCACCAAGCCGACGAUCUCUAGCUGGUCUGAGAGGAUGACCAGCCACACUGGGACUGAGACACGGCCCAGACUCCUACGGGAGGCAGCAGUGGGGAAUAUUGCGCAAUGGGGGCAACCCUGACGCAGCCAUGCCGCGUGAAUGAAGAAGGCCUUCGGGUUGUAAAGUUCUUUCGGUAGCGAGGAAGGCAUUUAGUUUAAUAGACUAGAUGAUUGACGUUAACUACAGAAGAAGCACCGGCUAACUCCGUGCCAGCAGCCGCGGUAAUACGGAGGGUGCGAGCGUUAAUCGGAAUAACUGGGCGUAAAGGGCACGCAGGCGGUGACUUAAGUGAGGUGUGAAAGCCCCGGGCUUAACCUGGGAAUUGCAUUUCAUACUGGGUCGCUAGAGUACUUUAGGGAGGGGUAGAAUUCCACGUGUAGCGGUGAAAUGCGUAGAGAUGUGGAGGAAUACCGAAGGCGAAGGCAGCCCCUUGGGAAUGUACUGACGCUCAUGUGCGAAAGCGUGGGGAGCAAACAGG
rnacentral:rRNA from 1 species